ACGGUAUGAUGGGGACAUUUCCAGAUGAAGCCCGUUAAUCUUUCCCAUGAUUCAUGAAACUGCUCACCAUUUUGCUGUGAGAAACUAAUGAGAGCUCUCCUUAUCU
rnacentral:snoRNA from 1 species